UACGUAGGCAGCGAGCGUUGUUCGGAGUUACUGGGCGUAAAGGGUGUGUAGGCGGUUUUCUAAGUUUGGUGUGAAAUCUCCCGGCUCAACCGGGAGGGUGCGCCGAAAACUGGGAGACUAGAGUGCGGGAUGGGAGAGUAGAAUUCCUGGUGUAGCGGUGAAAUGCGUAGAUAUCAGGAGGAAUACCGGUGGUGCAGACGGCUCUCUGGACCGCAACUGACGCUGAGACACGAAAGCGUGGGUAGCAAACAGG
rnacentral:rRNA from 1 species